AAAAACAUUAGAAAAUUGAUGUAAUGAAUGAACAGCUCUACAGCAUACCGAAUAUUAUAGUACAUCCACAAGACUUUGUUCUCUUAAGUAUUUCAUCCAGUCUGUUUUCUUGUUUUUUUUGUGAAUAAGCUCUUUAUAUGGGUCCUGUGUCCGGUCCAAGCUGUGAGAGCGGAGGAAUCAGAUACAAGUUGGGAAAAUGCGUGGUGAGUUUUCAGGAGCUACUUACUGGAUUUUGCCUUAUGCCAGGGAGAAAAGACCCAGGGUACUAUAAAUAAUGUACGAGUAAAUAUACAACUGAAACAAAAUGAUUGACAUGGAAUUUAGGUUUGAAUGCAUGUAAUUUCAGGGUGGCAUAACAUCUGAUCAUCUGACGGAAUAAGUGUUAAAUCACUUUAUUGUGGUUGGAGAGAGAGCUUUAUAUUUAUAUAUUUUGCCAAGUAAUGAUGGAUAAACUUUAGGUUUGAGAAGCUCAUGAGAUGUUUUUAGAACUGGUUUUACAUCGUUACGAAGUUGAAAAAUGUAUUGUGGAUUUGAGAGCUUUUGUAUUAACAGCUUUCUUUCCCUUCAUGCAUUCAUAUCUUGUAGUUUCUUAAAACGAAUGGCUGAGUGAAAAUCUGGUAUGAUGACAAAAAGACCCUUUUCUGUGAAACUCGUACAUUAUCAGACAUCAUGGCACAGAUUACCCCACACUCCCCCUAAUAUUCUUGCCCUGGUCUCUCUCUCUCUCUCUCUCUCUCUCACUCUCUCACUCUCCUGACCACAAAAGAAAGAAAUCAUUGAGUUUUUCCCUUUUUAUAAACACUCCCUCCCCUUUCAGUAGUCUCCAAAUAGGGACACAGACUUUCAGGUUCCCAAACUUUGUUGGAAGAAGUGAAAAGAAGUUUAAGGCAGACUUUGUGUACUCUGUUUCUCUGCCUCUGAAUGGCAAAGUAAAGAACAGCGCUUUGAACAUUUUGACCAGACACAUGGCUCUACCUUGUGACACGGCAGAAGAUUCUGAUGAGGUCAGAGCUUUGCAACAGUGGUGACUGUGUGGAAAAAGUCUGUCCAGCUUUGAGGGGCUCAAGAGGGACCUCACAUUUGCCAUCGCUUGGGUUCUCAUCCAUCACUCCGUCAAGUCCCAGGUCAUAGAG
rnacentral:lncRNA from 12 species